UAUAGAAAAUAUUGGCUACAUAAUUUUACCUCAAACCUUUUAUAAUAAAAGUGGAACGGAAGUCGUGGUUGAUCUUUUGCGGCGAGAAAGGUCAAUGUGACAACUGUGUGGGGGGCGUGUGUGUGUUGUGUAACUUUGCCACUGUGUGUAUGGUUACUUUGACCGUAAUUGAAAGGCUAUAUUAUUGUAUUUUGUCGUGCAAUUUACAAUGAAUCCACCACAGUUGUCCGCUGGGAAACGUCUCGCUAAACCGAUUUUGUUUGGGACGCUGAUCAUAGGACUGACCACUGUCUUCUACAACAGCAAUAUGUUCUUCGGGGACGUGGAAGAGCUCAGAGCCAAGGAGCGGGCCCGCAAUGAUGCAAAGCUGCAGGAGGUCCUGGAAAGGAGACAGAAGCAGAUAGAGCACCUGAUGGAGAAGAAGGGAGGAGCUUGAGUCAAAGUACCCAUGUCCAGUUGGAGACCAUUCCUAGAACUCUCAUCAAUUGCUUUUCAAAAUGGACAAAUUGAUUGAUGGCCAAAUCGAAAUUAAAGCUUGACCAAUGUUGCCCAGGACUAUCCGAUAGGGGUUCACUCUAUCAAUUUGUAAAGGGAGCAAACAAUGUAUUAGCGGUUCGAGCUCUGCAUGCAUGGAAUCGAGUCUCUUAAAAGUCCACUCAUGCAAGAGAGUAUUGUUGUAAGACGAAUUAAUUGUUUUUUCAAUUUCGUUUUUUUCCUUCUUCACCUCAUUAUGUAAGAAUUGAAUUAUUUCCCAGUUCUAAAACAAUGAUGUAAAUCGAUUGUAGGAUUUGAUACAACAUUAUUCAAUGAACAUUGGAUUAAAAAAACGUAAAUAGUAAAUGUGAAGUGGUUCCAACAAAGUCCAUGAUUCUUUUAACUUUUGAAAGUCUGAAUGAAGGGGAAUCCUUCUAUUAGGCGUCGUUUGUCAAAUUUUGCUGCUCAAAAAACGACUUCACUUGUUCCAGAUUGAGCUUGAGUGUUGCUUAAUUUUUCCUAUAUUUAGCAAAUAAACGCCCCACCCAAAUGCACUGCAAA